rnacentral:rRNA from 1 species
CCUACGGGGGGCAGCAGUGGGGAAUAUUGGGCAAUGGGCGCAAGCCUGACCCAGCAACGCCGCGUGAAGGAAGAAGGCUUUCGGGUUGUAAACUUCUUUUAAGAGGGAAGAGCAGAAGACGGUACCUCUUGAAUAAGCUCCGGCUAACUACGUGCCAGCAGCCGCGGUAAUACGUAGGGAGCGAGCGUUAUCCGGAUUUAUUGGGUUUAAAGGGUGCGCAGGCGGAUUUUUAAGUCAGCGGUCAAAUCGUGGGGCUCAACCCCAUCCAGCCGUUGAAACUGGGGAUCUAGAGUGUGCGAGAGGUA